GAGGGCAAGUCCCGCCAAUCACAGACAACCAUACAUGGUGGUGGAAGGAUAAGUGGAGUUCCUCCAAUCACAGGGACCCUUAUAGGACCGGGGAGGUAUAAGUAGGGGGCCGGCGGCACCGCGUGACUCUGAGGGCACUUCCGGGAGCUUAGGGCGGUAGAACUUUGCUGAGGUGAUUGGAGGCCCGGCUUCCCGCCUCUAGGCCGCCACCAUGGAGGCCCUAAUCCCCGUUAUUGCCAAGCUCCAAGAGGUCUUCGGUGUGGUGGGCAAGGACAUCAUCCAGCUGCCACAGAUUGUGAUCUUUGGCUCUCAGAGCAGUGGCAAGAGCUCGGUGCUGGAAAGCAUCGUGGGACGGAACUUCCUUCCGGCUCAGAAUCA